AUUGAACGCUGGCGGCAGGCCUAACACAUGCAAGUCGAGCGAGCGGCGGACUGGUGAGUAAUGUCUGGGAAACUGCCUGAUGGAGGGGGAUAACUACUGGAAACGGUAGCUAAUACCGCAUACCAUCGGAUGUGCCCAGAGGGGAUUAGCUAGUAGGUGGGGUAACGGCUCACCUAGGCGACGAGCCCUAGCUGGUCUGAGAGGAUGACCAGCCACACUGGAACUGAGACACGUGCCAGACCCCUACGGGAGGCAGCAGUGGGGAAUAUUGCACAAUGGGCGCAAGCCUGAUGAAGCCAUGCCGAGUGUAUGAAGAAGGCCUUCGGGUUGUAAAGUACUUUCAGCGAGGAGGCGUUACUCGCAGAAGAAGCACCGGCUAACUCCGUGCCAGCAGCCGCGGUAAUAC
rnacentral:rRNA from 1 species